AUUCUAUUGAAAAUCUCAUUCCUGUUCUUCAUAAUUCGGUGUUCAACCAUCAAAACGCAAAACGCGAUCUAUCCGAGUCUGAGAAGUUUCGACUAUGGCGUUCAUGAAGGGAAAGGCAGUGAUUACCAAAGUGGCAGCUUUAGCGAGUUAUGGUGUGUUACCAGGUGCCAUGGUGGCUGCUCUCGUCUACUCUCCCCCUAAUUACGCCGAAAAACACGCCCCCGCCACCUCCAAUUAGGGGCACCGGGGUUGCAUGAUGCAAAUCAGCAAUAUGUGAGAGUCCUUUAGUGAAGAAGCAUGUUCUGUAAUAAAAUGUGACUAGAUUUUUGUAUUUUAAAUAUUUAGAUUAUAAUUGUCUUGACAAUUUGCUUCAUCUGGAUUUUGUGGAGUCAGACUAAUAACAAGAAAUGUACCUCUCUGAAAAUAAUAAUUUGGAAGUGUACCUCUCAACCAAUCAUGUUACUAUUUUUUUCUCUAGAAGUGUACACAAGGUGUAUGGAUGUUCAUAUUCAUUAUCCUCAAAUUUUUUAAUCAUCUUUUCUUUCAUUCUAUACACUUGUUUUUUGUAAUUGAGAGGAUGCAUGGAAUAAGAUGAGAGGGUUGCAUGAUGCAAAUCAGCAAUAUGUGAGAGUCCUUUAGUGAAGAAGCAUGUUCUGUAAUAAAAUGUGACUAGAUUUUUGUAUUUUAAAUAUUUAGAUUAUAAUUGUCUUGACAAUUUGCUUCAUCUGGAUUUUGUGGAGUCAGACUAAUAACAAGAAAUGUACCUCUCUGAAAAUAAUAAUUUGGAAGUGUACCUCUCAACCAAUCA